rnacentral:rRNA from 1 species
AACGAACGCUGGCGGCAUGCCUAACACAUGCAAGUCGAACGAGACCUUCGAGUCUAGUGGCGCACGGGUGCGUAACGCGUGGGAACCUGCCCUUAGGUUCGGAAUAACUCCCCGAAAGGGGUGCUAAUACCGGAUAAUGUCUUCGGACCAAAGAUUUAUCGCCUUUGGAUGGGCCCGCGUUGGAUUAGCUAGUUGGUAGGGUAAAAGCCUACCAAGGCGACGAUCCAUAGCUGGUCUGAGAGGAUGAGCAGCCACACUGGGACUGAGACACGGCCCAGACUCCUACGGGAGGCAGCAGUGGGGAAUAUUGGACAAUGGGCGAAAGCCUGAUCCAGCAAUGCCGCGUGAGUGAUGAAGGCCUUAGGGUUGUAAAGCUCUUUUACCCGGGAUGAUAAUGACAGUACCGGGAGAAUAAGCUCCGGCUAACUCCGUG